rnacentral:rRNA from 1 species
UGGGGAAUAUUGCGCAAUGGGCGAAAGCCUGACGCAGCAACGCCGCGUGAGUGAUGAAGGCCUUCGGGUCGUAAAGCUCUGUCGGAGGGAACGAAUGCUCCUGAAGUUAACAGCCUCAGGAGGUGACGGUACCCUCAAAGGAAGCACCGGCUAACUCUGUGCCAGCAGCCGCGGUAAUACGAAGGGAGCUAGCGUUGUUCGGAAUUACUGGGCGUAAAGGGCGUGUAGGUGGUUCUAUAAGCAAGAUGUGAAAUCCCUGGGCUUAACCUAGGAAUGGCAUUUUGGACUGUAGGACUCAGUGUGCGAGAGGGGAAAGUGGAAUGGCGAGUGGAGCAGUGAAAUGCGUUGAUAUUCGUUGGAACACCAGAGGCGAAGGCGACUUUCUGGCUCGACACAGACACUAAGGCACGAAAGCGUGGGGAGCAAACAGGAUUAGAUACCCAUGUAGUCCCUGAGCGGGCUGGCAAGGCGCAU